AACGAACGCUGGCGGCAGGCUUAACACAUGCAAGUCGAGCGAUGAAGCUGGAGCUUGCUCUGGUGGAUUAGUGGCGAACGGGUGAGUAACACGUGAGUAACCUGCCCUGGACUCUGGGAUAAGCGUUGGAAACGACGUCUAAUACCGGAUAGGACCUCGGAUCGCAUGAUCUGGGGUGGAAAGUUUUUCGGUCUGGGAUGGACUCGCGGCCUGUCAGCUUGUUGGUGAGGUAAUGGCUCACCAAGGCGUCGACGGGUAGCCGGCCUGGGAGGGUGACCGGCCACACUGGGACUGAGACACGGCCCAGACUCCUACGGGAGGCAGCAGUGGGGAAUAUUGCACAAUGGGCGCAAGCCUGAUGCAGCAACGCCGCGUGCGGGAUGACGGCCUUCGGGUUGUAACCCGCUUUUAGUAAGGAAGAAGGGGCUUCGGACUUGACGGUACUUGCAGAAAAAGGACCGGCUAACUACGUGCCAGCAGCCGCCGUAACAC
rnacentral:rRNA from 1 species